rnacentral:rRNA from 1 species
UCCUGGCGACCAUAGCGGUCUGGAACCACCUGAUUCCAUCUCGAACUCAGUAGUGAA